rnacentral:rRNA from 1 species
AACGAACGCUGGCGGCGUGCCUAACACAUGCAAGUCGAACGAGAAAGGGGCUUCGGCUCCGAGUAAAGUGGCGCACGGGUGAGUAACACGUGGGUAACCUGCCUCUAAGAUUGGGACAACUCGUCGAAAGAUGAGCUAAUACCGGAUAAGACCACAGUUCCUGCGGGAGAAGUGGUCAAAGGUAGCCUCUGCUUGCAAGCUAUCACUUAGAGAUGGGCCUGCGCACCAUUAGCUAGUUGGUAGGGUAACGGCCUACCAAGGCAAAGAUGGUUAGCUGGUCUGAGAGGAUGAUCAGCCACACUGGAACUGAGACACGGUCCAGACUCCUACGGGAGGCAG